CCUACGGGUGGCAGCAGUGAGGAAUAUUGGUCAAUGGAUGAGAGUCUGAACCAGCCAAGUAGCGUGAAGGAUGACUGCCCUAUGGGUUGUAAACUUCUUUUAUAUGGGAAUAAAAUGUUCCACGUGUGGGAUUUUGUAUGUACCAUAUGAAUAAGGAUCGGCUAACUCCGUGCCAGCAGCCGCGGUAAUACGGAGGUUCCGAGCGUUAUCCGGAUUUAUUGGGUUUAAAGGGAGCGUAGGUGGAUUGUUAAGUCAGUUGUGAAAGUUUGCGGCUCAACCGUAAAAUUGCAGUUGAAACUGGCAGUCUUGAGUACAGUAGAGGUGGGCGGAAUUCGUGGUGUAGCGGUGAAAUGCUUAGAUAUCACGAAGAACUCCGAUUGCGAAGGCAGUUCACUGGACUGCAACUGACACUGAGGCUCGAAAGUGUGGGUAUCAAACAGGAUUAGAUACCCUAGUAGUC
rnacentral:rRNA from 1 species